GCCUAUAUGCCAUAAAAAACCUCUAUUUUUUAAUUGGCCAAACAUUUUCCCACUUGGGAAGGUGAUUCUAGUUCUCAAAUUCCUCUAGUUGUCCACAAAAUUUGAAGGAGAUUUGGUUCUACCUUUCCCAAAAAAUUCGAGUUCAAUUAGAGGAGAAAUAUGCGGCUUUGUUUGUCCAAAGCGCUACUCCACCACGAGCCUAACCCACCAAAAAGCCCUAAAGUCUACUGCUUCAAUCGACCCCAAUUUGCAAUUGAAUGCAGCGCAACCAGGGCGAAUUUCGGCGACGGCGCUAAACGGCAAACGGGAAAUGCACCAGGAGGGACACCUUCCAAAGGCGAACAUAACCCACCAAAGAGCUCCAAAAUCAGUGGGUCAAUCGCCGCCAAUCUUCAUUCGAAGAUUGCGCCACCUGUGGCGAUUUCCGAUCACGGCGCCGCCGCCACGUCGAAGCUCCAAAUUCAAAAUUUCCUACAGAAUUCGACGGAAAAUGUGGUCAGCAACUCGAAUUUGUCAAAAGCCCCUUAUAAUUCAUCUCAGAAUCAGUCCAGUUGCAAAAUUAGGGUUUUAAAACCCCAAUUUUCAGUUGGUGGAGUUCCGACGGCUGAAACUCGAAUUGGUCAAAGGAAUUUGUGCAAAAUGAUCCUAUUGUUGAUUUCCCUAAGGUUGACUCAACUGAUUCACCUCAAUUAUCAUCCAAUUUGAAUUCUGAUGAAUUAAAGGAUGGUGAAGAGGAUGAUGAUUAUGUGCAGUCAAUUGAGGAUCCUACAGGUAAGUUUUCCUCUCCUAAACAUCGUGGGAACUGUAGCUGCUGUGACUAGUGUUGCUGGGGAUGUACAUGGUGUUGUGCAUGAUGGUAUUGAUGUUGUUCAUGGUGGUCAGGUUGAUACUGAUGCUGUGGGUACUGUUGAUGCUAUACAACCCUAGAAAGAGUCCCAAAGGAGUGUUCAUAACCCAAAAAAUCAGUCCCAAGAGGGUGUGUUGCAUGGUGUGGUCCUUAAUGGUAAUAGUGGUGUACAAGCCGAAGUGGUCCCCUAUCCCCAAUGGUUUUAAUGGUUCUGAUGGUGUAAAUAGUGGGAAGGAGUUGCUGAAAUCUUGUCCCAAUGCCCCAUAUCUCAUGUUUCAAUUGAUGGUGAAUCCGAUGAUGAAGUAGAGGGAGGAGAGGGGUGUUCUGUGGAUUUGCUGGAAAAGAAUGAAGGGAUCAAAUGUCAUGGUUCUGAUAACGUGGUUAUUGGUGGUGUGAAUUCUCCUGGUGUUGAAAAAGACAAUGAUAAAGAGGGGAGGAAUAUGCAGUUACCAGUAAACCUUCUUUGGAAGGUUGUUGAAUAUGAGAAGUUGUCUUCUUCUUCUACAAUUUGUGGGGCUCUUUGAUUCUCCUUCAAUGGUUUCUUCCACAGCACCAAGUGAUGUGGCUAGUGGGUCCAUUUCGCCCACGGAUGCAAGGAGAUCACGUGAUGAUAGUGAUCCUAAUGACAGUCGUUGAUAUCGUUGCAAAUUGUCUUGGAUAUUCAAUUAUGAUGAUGUAAUUAUGUGAUUGGAGUGAAUCUUAUAAUAUUGACGUCGUGUUUAAAUUUGAUUUUUAGAGUUUGAAGAUACUAGUUAAUGUUGAAAAUUUGGAGUUUGAAGAUGCUAAUGUUGAAAAUUUAAUGUUCAACA